rnacentral:tRNA from 2 species
CCGGCGGUAGCUCAGCGGUAGAGCACCCGAUUGUUAAUCGGGUGGUCGCUGGUUCGAAUCCAGCUCGUCGCGCUA